rnacentral:rRNA from 1 species
GUGAUCAGCUUUGAUCAAUCUCUUCAACGUGAGAGUUUGAUCCUGGCUCAGAGCGAACGCUGGCGGCAGGCUUAACACAUGCAAGUCGAGCGGGCACUUCGGUGUCAGCGGCGGACGGGUGAGUAACGCGUGGGAACGUGCCCUCUGGUUCGGAAUAACUCAGGGAAACUUGAGCUAAUACCGGAUACGCCCUUUUGGGGAAAGGCUUGCUGCCGGAGGAUCGGCCC